rnacentral:rRNA from 1 species
CUUUCCUACGAGGGGCAGCAGUGAGGAAUAUUGGUCAAUGGGCGAGAGCCUGAACCAGCCAAGUCGCGUGAAGGAUGACGGCCCUAUGGGUUGUAAACUUCUUUUGUCAGGGAGCAAUUGAGCCCACGUGUGGGCUUAGCGAGAGUACCUGAAGAAAAAGCAUCGGCUAACUCCGUGCCAGCAGCCGCGGUAAUACGGAGGAUGCGAGCGUUAUCCGGAUUUAUUGGGUUUAAAGGGUGCGUAGGCGGAAUAUCAAGUCGGCGGUAAAAAUUCGGGGCUCAACACCGUCGUGCCGUUGAAACUGG